rnacentral:rRNA from 1 species
UACGGAGGAUCCAAGCGUUAUCCGGAUUUAUUGGGUUUAAAGGGUGCGUAGGCGGCUUAUUAAGUCAGGGGGUGAAAGACGGUGGCUCAACCAUCGCAGUGCCUUUGAUACUGAUGAGCUUGAAUGAACUAGAGGUAGGCGGAAUGUGACAAGUAGCGGUGAAAUGCAUAGAUAUGUCACAGAACACCGAUUGCGAAGGCAGCUUACUAUGGUUUUUAUUUGACGCUGAGGCACGAAAGCGUGGGGAUCAAACAGG